UUUGGUGAGGUAAUGGCUCACCAAGGCUAAGACGUCUAGGCGGACUGAGAGGUUGACCGCCAACACUGGGACUGAGACACUGCCCAGACUCCUACGGGAGGCUGCAGUCGAGAAUCAUUCGCAAUGGGCGCAAGCCUGACGAUGCGACGCCGUGUGAGCGAAGAAGGCUUUCGGGUUGUAAAGCUCUUUCGCCUGGGAACAAGGGAUGUCGGUAAAUAGCCGGCAAACUUGAGGGUACCAGGUAAAGAAGCACCGGCUAACUCCGUGCCAGCAGCUGCGGUAAUACGGAGGGUGCAAGCAUUAAUCGGAUUUAUUGGGCGUAAAGGGCGAGUAGGCGGAGAGAUAAGUCAGACGUUAAAUUUCGGGGCUCAACCCUGGAGUGCAUCUGAAACUGUUUUUCUUGAGGAUAGGCGGAGAAAACGGAAUUCCACGUGUAGCGGUGAAAUGCGUAGAUAUGUGGAGGAACACCGGUGGCGAAGGCGGUUUUCUAGCUUAUUCCUGACGCUGAGGCGCGAAAGCGAGGGGAGCAAACAGGAUUAGAUACCCUGGUAGUCCUCGCUGUAAACGAUGUACACUUGGUGUAGACGGACUCAACUCCGUUUGUGCCGGAGCUAACGUGUUAAGUGUACCGCCUGAGGAGUACGCUCGCAAGGGUGAAACUUAAAAGAAUUGACGGGGACCCGCACAAGCAGUGGAGCAUGUGGUUUAAUUCGAUGCAACGCGAAGAACCUUACCCAGGCUCGAAGUGCAGAGGACAGUAUCAGAAAUGAUAUCUCCCGUAAGGGUCUCUGUAUAGGUGCUGCAUGGCUGUCGUCAGCUCGUGCCGUGAGGUGUUGGGUUAAGUCCCGCAACGAGCGCAACCCUUAUCGUUAGUUGCCAACGUUUUGGAUGGGGACUCUAACGAGACUGCCACGGUGAACGUGGAGGAAGGUGAGGAUGACGUCAAGUCAGCAUGGCCCUUAUGUCUGGGGCUACACACGUGCUACAAUGGCCGGUACAGAAGGCAGCGAAACCGUGAGGUGAAGCAAAUCCCAAAAACCGGUCCCAGUUCGGAUUGCAGUCUGCAACUCGACUGCAUGAGGUUGGAAUUGCUAGUAAUGACGCGUCAGCUACAGCGUCGUGAAUACGUUCCCGGGUCUUGUACACACCGCCCGUCACAUCAUGGAAGUUGGUUUUACCCGAAGUCACUGACUCAACCGCAAGGGGAGAGGUGCCUAAGGUAAGGCUGAUAACUGGGAUGAAGUCGUAACAAGGUA
rnacentral:rRNA from 1 species